rnacentral:snRNA from 1 species
GUGCUUGCUUUGGCAAUACAUAUACUAAAAUUGGAACAAUACAGAUAUUAGCAUGGCCCUUGUGCAAGGAUGACAUGCAUGUUUUUGAAGUGUUCUUUAUUUUG